UACGGAGGGUGCUAGCGUUGUUCGGAAUUACUGGGCGUAAAGCGCACGUAGGCGGCUUUGUAAGUUAGAGGUGAAAGCCCAGGGCUCAACCCUGGAAUUGCCUUUAAGACUGCAUCGCUAGAAUUGUGGAGAGGUAAGUGGAAUUCCGAGUGUAGAGGUGAAAUUCGUAGAUAUUCGGAAGAACACCAGUGGCGAAGGCGACUUGCUGGACACAUAUUGACGCUGAGGUGCGAAAGCGUGGGGAGCAAACAGG
rnacentral:rRNA from 1 species